UACGUAGGGUGCAAGCGUUAAUCGGAAUUACUGGGCGUAAAGCGUGCGCAGGCGGUUUUGUAAGACAGUGGUGAAAUCCCCGGGCUCAACCUGGGAACUGCCAUUGUGACUGCAAGGCUGGAGUGCGGCAGAGGGGGAUGGAAUUCCGCGUGUAGCAGUGAAAUGCGUAGAUAUGCGGAGGAACACCGAUGGCGAAGGCAAUCCCCUGGGCCUGCACUGACGCUCAUGCACGAAAGCGUGGGGAGCAAACAGG
rnacentral:rRNA from 2 species